rnacentral:rRNA from 1 species
GUACUUGUACCUGGUGGCGAGCGGCGGACGGGUGAGUAAUGCCUAGGAAUCUGCCUGGUAGUGGGGGAUAACGCUCGGAAACGGACGCUAAUACCGCAUACGUCCUACGGGAGAAAGCAGGGGACCUUCGGGCCUUGCGCUAUCAGAUGAGCCUAGGUCGGAUUAGCUAGUUGGUGAGGUAAUGGCUCACCAAGGCGACGAUCCGUAACUGGUCUGAGAGGAUGAUCACUCACACUGGAACUGAGACACGGUCCAGACUCCUACGGGAGGCAGCAGUGGGGAAUAUUGGACAAUGGGCGAAAGCCUGAUCCAGCCAUGCCGCGUGUGUGAAGAAGGUCUUCGGAUUGUAAAGCACUUUAAGUUGGGAGGAAGGGCAGUUACCUAAUACGUGUUUGUUUUGACGUUACCGACAGAAUAAGCACCGGCUAACUCUGUGCCAGCAGCCGCGGUAAUACAGAGGGUGCAAGCGUUAAUCGGAAUUACUGGGCGUAAAGCGCGCGUAGGUGGUUUGUUAAGUUGAAUGUGAAAUCCCCGGGCUCAACCUGGGAACUGCAUCCAAAACUGGCAAGCUAGAGUAUGGUAGA